rnacentral:rRNA from 1 species
UAGGGAAUCUUCGGCAAUGGACGGAAGUCUGACCGAGCAACGCCGCGUGAGUGAAGAAGGUUUUCGGAUCGUAAAGCUCUGUUGUAAGAGAAGAACGAGUGUGAGAGUGGAAAGUUCACACUGUGACGGUAUCUUACCAGAAAGGGACGGCUAACUACGUGCCAGCAGCCGCGGUAAUACGUAGGUCCCGAGCGUUGUCCGGAUUUAUUGGGCGUAAAGCGAGCGCAGGCGGUUAGAUAAGUCUGAAGUUAAAGGCUGUGGCUUAACCAUAGUAGGCUUUGGAAACUGUUUAACUUGAGUGCAAGAGGGGAGAGUGGAAUUCCAUGUGUAGCGGUGAAAUGCGUAGAUAUAUGGAGGAACACCGGUGGCGAAAGCGGCUCUCUGGCUUGUGACUGACGCUGAGGCUCGAAAGCGUGGGGAGCAAACAGGAUUAGAUACCCUGGUAGUCCACGCUGUAAACGAUGAGUGCUAGGUGUUAGACCCUUUCCGGGGUUUAGUGCCGUAGCUAACGCAUUAAGCACUCCGCCUGGGGAGUACGACCGCAAGGUU